rnacentral:rRNA from 1 species
UACGUGGGGAGCAAGCGUUGUUCGGAUUUACUGGGCGUAAAGGGCGCGUAGGCGGUCAGCACAAGUCAGUUGUGAAAUCUCCGGGCUUAACCCGGAAAGGUCAACUGAUACUGUGCGACUAGAGUGCGGAAGGGGAAACUGGAAUUCUCGGUGUAGCGGUGAAAUGCGUAGAUAUCGAGAGGAACACCUGCGGCGAAGGCGGGUUGCUGGGCCGACACUGACGCUGAUGCGCGAAAGCCAGGGGAGCGAACGGG